rnacentral:rRNA from 1 species
UACGGAGGGUGCAAGCGUUGCUCGGAAUCACUGGGCGUAAAGCGACCGCAGGCGGCCUGACAAGUCGGAUGUGAAAGCCCUGGGCUCAACCCAGGAAUUGCAUUCGAAACUGGCAGGCUUGAGUACGGGAGAGGGGGGUGGAAUUCCUGGUGUAGGGGUGAAAUUCGUUGAUAUCAGGAGGAACACCGGCGGCGAAGGCGGCCCCCUGGCCCGCAACUGACGCUCAUGGUCGAAAGCGUGGGGAGCAAACAGG